rnacentral:rRNA from 1 species
GGAUUAGAUACCCUAGUAUAUUAUUUUUUAUGAUUAGUAAAUUAUGAUUGAAAAUUAAUAAAUUUGGCGGUUAAGUUAUUUAUUAGAGGAGCUUGUUUAAUUAGAAAUUGCUCUUUAUAUUUAAAAUGUACUAUGUUUAUUCAUCUCCGUUAUUAAUGCAAUUUAUGUUACCAAGAUUUAAAACUUAUAACUUCAGGUCUAGAUGUAGCUUUUGUACAAAAAUAAAUUAGCUACAUUUAUGUAAUAUUUGGCUUUAAAUAAUGAAAUUUUUUAAUAAAAUUGAAUUUGAUUGUAAUAGUUUAAUUAAAAAAUUAAUAUGAAAUUUAUUAAUUAAUGUAUAUAUUGCCCGUCACUUCUAAAAAAUAAAUUUUAGAAUAAGUCGUAACAAAGUA